rnacentral:rRNA from 1 species
UACGAAGGUGGCAAGCGUUACUCGGAAUUACUAGGCGUAAAGGGCAGGUAGGUGGUUUGGUAAGUCUGCUGUGAAAGCUCCUUGCUUAACGGGGAGAGGUCAACAGAUACUGCCAAGCUUGAGUAUGGGAGAGGGUACUGGAAUUCCCGGUGUAGCGGUGAAAUGCGCAGAGAUCGGGAGGAACACCAAUGGCGAAAGCAGGUACCUGGACCAUUACUGACACUCAGCUGCGAAAGCUAGGGGAGCAAACAGG